rnacentral:rRNA from 1 species
UGGGGAAUAUUGGACAAUGGGCGCAAGCCUGAUCCAGCCAUGCCGCGUGAGUGAUGAAGGCCCUAGGGUUGUAAAGCUCUUUCAACGGUGAAGAUAAUGACGGUAACCGUAGAAGAAGCCCCGGCUAACUUCGUGCCAGCAGCCGCGGUAAUACGAAGGGGGCUAGCGUUGUUCGGAAUAACUGGGCGUAAAGCGCACGUAGGCGGAAUGUUAAGUGAGGGGUGAAAUCCCGGGGCUCAACCCCGGAACUGCCUUUCAUACUGGCAAUCUAGAGAUCGAGAGAGGUGAGUGGAAUUCCGAGUGUAGAGGUGAAAUUCGUAGAUAUUCGGAGGAACACCAGUGGCGAAGGCGGCUCACUGGCUCGAACCUGACGCUGAGGUGCGAAAGUGUGGGGAGCAAACAGGAUUAGAUACCCCCGUAGUCC